rnacentral:lncRNA from 1 species
UUGCUGAGCUAAGUAGAGAUCUCUUUUAUUAUGGUCUUCAUUCUAUGAUUAUUAAACC